AUUGAAUGCUGGCGGCAGGCCUAACACAUGCAAGUCGAGCGGCAGCGACUUAACUGAACCUUCGGGGAACGUUAAGGGCGGCGAGCGGCGGACGGGUGAGUAAUGCCUGGGAAUAUGCCCUGAUGUGGGGGAUAACUAUUGGAAAUGAUAGCUAAUACCGCAUAAUCUCUUCAGAGCAAAGAGGGGGACCUUCGGGCCUCUCGCGUCAGGAUUAGCCCAGGUGGGAUUAGCUUGUUGGUGAGGUAAUGGCUCACCAAGGCAACGAUCCCUAGCUGGUCUGAGAGGAUGAUCAGCCACACUGGAACUGAGACACGGUCCAGACUCCUACGGGAGGCAGCAGUGGGGAAUAUUGCACAAUGGGGGAAACCCUGAUGCAGCCAUGCCGCGUGUGCGAAGAAGGCCUUCGGGUUGUAAAGCACUUUCAGUAGGGAGGAAGGUAGUGUAGUUAACACCUGCAUUAUUUGACGUUACCUACAGAAGAAGCACCGGCUAACUCCGUGCCAGCAGCCGCGGUAAUACGGAGGGUGCGAGCGUUAAUCGGAAUUACUGGGCGUAAAGCGCAUGCAGGCGGCCUGUUAAGUCAGAUGUGAAAGCCCGGGGCUUAACCUCGGAAUUGCAUUUGAAACUGGCAGGCUAGAGUCUUGUAGAGGGGGGUAGAAUUUCAGGUGUAGCGGUGAAAUGCGUAGAGAUCUGAAGGAAUACCAGUGGCGAAGGCGGCCCCCUGGACAAAGACUGACGCUCAGAUGCGAAAGCGUGGGGAGCAAACAGG
rnacentral:rRNA from 1 species